UAGCGGUGUCACAAACUAAAUGAUGCUCUAAAUGUUGCGAUGAAAAGCAUUCCAAAGUGGAGUCCUUACCUGACUGCUGAAUUGGGAGUAUCUUCGAUAACCAUGUUUAGGACUCUUAGAUCGACUGUGCUGACUAGGUUGUGCUUGCCUUGGCCUAUGGAAAGGAGACUGGUGCCCUAGUGGAUGGGCUGGGGCCUAUCGCAAAGGA
rnacentral:lncRNA from 1 species